AGAGUUUGAUCCUGGCUCAGGACGAACGCUGGCGGCGUGCUUAACACAUGCAAGUCGAACGAGAAUCUGUGGAAAGAGGAUUCGUCCAAUUGAAGCAGAGGACAGUGGCGGACGGGUGAGUAACGCGUGAGGAACCUGCCUUUCAGAGGGGGACAACAGUUGGAAACGACUGCUAAUACCGCAUGAUGCGUAACUGGGACAUCCCGGAUACGCCAAAGAUUUUAUCGCUGAAAGAUGGCCUCGCGUCUGAUUAGAUAGUUGGCGGGGUAACGGCCCACCAAGUCGACGAUCAGUAGCCGGACUGAGAGGUUGACCGGCCACAUUGGGACUGAGAUACGGCCCAGACUCCUACGGGAGGCAGCAGUGGGGAAUAUUGGGCAAUGGGCGCAAGCCUGACCCAGCAACGCCGCGUGAAGGAAGAAGGCUUUCGGGUUGUAAACUUCUUUUAAGUGGGAAGAGUAGAAGACGGUACCACUUGAAUAAGCCACGGCUAACUACGUGCCAGCAGCCGCGGUAAUACGUAGGUGGCAAGCGUUGUCCGGAUUUACUGGGUGUAAAGGGCGUGCAGCCGGGCAUGCAAGUCAGAUGUGAAAUCUCAGGGCUUAACCCUGAAACUGCAUUUGAAACUGUAUGUCUUGAGUGCCGGAGAGGUAAUCGGAAUUCCUUGUGUAGCGGUGAAAUGCGUAGAUAUAAGGAAGAACACCAGUGGCGAAGGCGGAUUACUGGACGGUAACUGACGGUGAGGCGCGAAAGCGUGGGGAGCGAACAGGAUUAGAUACCCUGGUAGUCCACGCUGUAAACGAUGGAUACUAGGUGUGCGGGGACUGACCCCCUGCGUGCCGCAGUUAACACAAUAAGUAUUCCACCUGGGGAGUACGAUCGCAAGGUUGAAACUCAAAGGAAUUGACGGGGGCCCGCACAAGCGGUGGA
rnacentral:rRNA from 1 species